rnacentral:lncRNA from 1 species
GUAGCAGCUUUUUGGUGGUUGUGGCGUCGCCGACAUUGCCGUUUGGCUUUUGGAAGCUGCAUUUUUUAUGGCUAGUGUACGUGAAUUGCGUUUUGGCCUUUGGUAGCAGCAGCUGAUAGCAGCUUUUUGCAGCAUAUUUCUUUCUAAUUUGCUUUUUUGCUAAUUUGCUUUAUUGGACACUUGCUGAUGUAUAUGCAUUCCAAUUUUUAUUUUGUUUUAUUUGCAAUGACUUGGACUUGGCUUUGUAAUUUGGAGUUUGGGCCCAAUAUGUUUGAUUCAAUUGGUCAUGAAUUGGAAAAUGGAUCUAUUGAAUAAUGAUUUUGG